rnacentral:RNase_P_RNA from 1 species
CUGCGCGAUUGGGCAACUACUGGGCGCUUCGGCGCCGAGAGGAAAGUCCGGUCUUCCCAGGGCAGCAUGCCGGCUAACGGCCGGGGGUGUGCGCUCAAAGUGCAUGUCACGGAAAGUGCCACAGAAAAUGUACCGCUUGCCGGUUGAGGGAAACCUUGGCGGUGAGUAAGGGUGAAAAGGUGCGGUAAGAGCGCACCGCAGGACGAGUAAUCGCGCCUGGCAGGGCAAACCCCAUGUGAAGCAAGACCAAAUAGGGGAGGAGGAGCGGCCCGCUCCGUUACAACUUCCGGGUAGGUCGCUGGAGCCUUUCAGUAAUGGGAGGCCUAGAGGAAUGGUUGCCGCCUGCUUCGGCAGGCACAGAAACCGGCUUACAGGUCGCGCAGGUCA